rnacentral:rRNA from 1 species
CCUACGGGGGGCUGCAGUGAGGAAUAUUGGUCAAUGGACGAGAGUCUGAACCAGCCAAGUAGCGUGAAGGAUGACUGCCCUAUGGGUUGUAAACUUCUUUUAUAUGGGAAUAAAACGUUCCACGUGUGGGAUUUUGUAUGUACCAUAUGAAUAAGGAUCGGCUAACUCCGUUCCAGCAGCCGCGGUAAUACGGAGGAUCCGAGCGUUAUCCGGAUUUAUUGGGUUUAAAGGGAGCGUAGGUGGUUGUUAAGUCAGUUGUGAAAGUUUGCGGGUCAACCGUAAAAUUGCAGUUGAAACUGGCAGUCUUGAGUACAGUAGAGGUGGGCGGAAUUCGUGGUGUAGCGGUGAAAUGCUUAGAUAUCACGAAGAACUCCGAUUGCGAAGGCAGUUCACUGGACUGCAACUGACACUGAGGCUCGAAAGUGUGGGUAUCAAACAGGAUUAGAUACCCCUGUAGUC